UACGGGGGGGGCAAGCGUUGUUCGGAAUUACUGGGCGUAAAGGGCGCGUAGGCGGCCCGCUAAGUCGAACGUGAAAUCCCCGAGCUCAACUCGGGAACUGCGUCCGAUACUGGCGGGCUUGAAUCCGGGAGAGGUGAGUGGAACUCCGAGUGUAGAGGUGAAAUUCGUAGAUAUUCGGAAGAACACCAGUGGCGAAGGCGGCUCACUGGCCCGGUACUGACGCUGAGGUGCGAAAGCGUGGGGAGCAAACAGG
rnacentral:rRNA from 1 species